rnacentral:lncRNA from 1 species
CCUUGUACCAUGUCCUCUGAAUAUCAUCCAACAGGGAUGCAGAUUGAGGGAGAAUCUAUGAGCUGACAUUCCCAUCCCAUCAUUAGCAUUGAUUAUGUUUCAAUCCUCAGUAAGAAUAUUGAAGGAAAACCUCAUUUUCCAAGCUGGACAAACAUGUUUUCUCUGCAAAGAAAUAUCAUUUUAGGUGUGUCAAAUGUCCAUCUUUAAUUCUAGGGGACUCAAUAUUAAGAAUAAAUGUCAUCAGGUUGACUCUGUUGCCCUUGGUGCUGAUCCCUCUGCUCCUCCUGAUUCUGUGGUCCAGGUAAAACCAUGAAAAAUCAUCUGUCACCUUUCCUUUAUCUUCUUCACCACAUGCCUGAGUUUCAAUUUUUGACUUUUUCAAUGUUUAAAGUUAUUUGUUGUUUUUUUUUUAGGAAGAAAAAGACUCUGAGCUCCACUAGUGAGCCCGUUAAACCUGCAGAGAUGAUAGAGGUGAGACUUAAGGAGACGUCUGAUGAAGUACUCUGGAAGUGGUUAAGAAAUGGAGGGAGUUUAAGAUUGAAAUAAACCUUUGGGGGAAUUUUUAAGUAAAUCUAAAACAAGAUAAAACUAAUUACUGAACAAAAAUCUCAUCACUUGUCAUCAGUUAAACCCCAGUCCUAAGAGUGAGGACAUCUCAGCUGUCCCUUCAGCACAGGCAGAGGACACAGAGGAGCAGGAAGACAUUGUGUGAGGUCCAGUCCAGGCUAGAUCCUCCUAAACUGAAGAAAAACAGAUGAGCUCUUUACAAGGCUGGGACUCACUGAGGAGAACAAGGCUGCAGAUUAUCUUUCAC